AACGUAGGACGCAAGCGUUAUCCGGAGUUACUGGGCGUAAAGCGCGGGCAGGCGGUCUGACAAGUCUGAUGUGAAAUCUCCGGGCUCAACCGGGAGAGGCCAUUGGAAACUGACAGGCUGGAGGGCAGUAGAGGUAGGCGGAAUUCCUGGUGUAGCGGUGAAAUGCGCAGAUAUCAGGAAGAACACCCGUGGCGAAGGCGGUUCUCUGGGACGGUACUGACGCUGAGACGCGAAAGCGUGGGGAGCGAACAGG
rnacentral:rRNA from 1 species